GCCUUGGAUCCAGUUGCUCCAGUUUAUAAGUACUGCCUUGUAUCAGUAUCUAACAUAUUAAAUUCAACAUGCGAAAAUGAGGUUAGCUGUGUUCAUUUUCAGCGUUCAAGUCUAGCUGAUAUGAGACGCGUGGUUGCAAAGUUUUUCAAUUGUAAGCUUAUUUUAUAUUUAUAUUGUUGAUACAUUCAAGUAACUAGCCUUUUUUUUUUUUUUUUGCAGGCCUUCAAAUAUGUCAGUUUUCCUGUUCAGAUACAUGUUAUGAAGAAAUACAAGGGACAAGACUACUUUUUUGCUUUUCUAGUAACAGUGGGAUGUUCGAUUUUUAUUUUAUAUCCGGUAAUGACUACAUCCUUAGUCUCAGAUCAAGGUUUGACUACAUUCUUUAGGUGUGGAUCAAAUUGGCGAGGAGCAUUGCAAAGUUAAUUAACUUGAUUAUUAAUUGCAAGAGCUACAAAGGAAUAUGAGAGAAAAGCUAGGGAGUUUGUGAAGACUGCAGUAAUGAAUGCCAGUUUUCCAAGUAAGAUUCUUUGUCCAUGAAACAAAUGUCAGAAUCUAAGACAUCAACUUUCAGAUGAAGUUCUAGAACAUCAACUUUUGUCCUAACUAUGCGAUGCUUACUAUACGAGAAGUUGUUGGUUCAACAGUUGCAUGGCCUUCUCAAAAGGUUAUUCCAAGAGAUUCAACAAGUCUAGUGCAAAAGAAAAUAUGAUUUGGAAGGCUUUGGUGUGCUGACAUUUGGAAGAUCAUGAAUUCCUACCUUUACUUUUGAAUAUGCAACUGUUUAAGACUAUUUUGUUGACUAUUGUGAGAAUGUUUUGUUUAUGUUAAUUAGACAGUGUUGAAUAUCUUAAGACUUUUGGAUUAUUUUUUAGUUAAUCUUGAAUGUAUUUUGACACAAUUAUUUGGUUAUA